AGAAUCAAAGCUGGCGGCGUGCCUAACACAUGCAAGUCGAACGCGAAAGUCCCGCAAGGGAUAAGUAGAGUGGCAAACGGGUGAGUAACACGUGGGUGACCUGCCUUCGAGCGGGGGAUAACGUCCCGAAAGGGACGCUAAUACCGCAUAACAUCCUGUCCUUGAACGGAUGGAGAUCAAAGCCGGGGAUCGUAAGACCUGGCGUUUGAAGAGGGGCCCGCGUCCGAUUAGCUAGUUGGUGAGGUAACGGCUCACCAAGGCGACGAUCGGUAGCC
rnacentral:rRNA from 1 species